rnacentral:tRNA from 1 species
GCCGAGGUGGCGAAAUUGGUAGACGCACAAGACUUAAAAUUUUGGGGACGCAAGUCCGUGUGGGUUCGAGUCCCACCCUCGGCACCA